AAUAUUUACCCUAAUAUUUUUAUAAUUUAUCUCCCCUGCAGGCUCGCAGAGUUUCCUACAGCUGGGCAGAUUGCGGCCAAGGCGAAGCAGUCACUGACAGGGUGGCCGGGCACAGCACCCAACACACCACGAGAGGCUUGGAUCAUGAAUGCAAGUGAAGACUUUGACGUCAGAGUUGAGAUUUAUCAGCAGAUCCAAUGGGGCAGGAAUAUUAAGUGCGAGGCGAUGCCAGCUAUCUACCAACGUUAUUAGCGAUGCUCGCCGAGGAAUGAGGCUCAACACCAAGGGCUGGAAGGAGCGGGAGGGGGAAAAAUAAAAACGGGGGCAAGCGAGCUGAUCCUCCAGCCUUAGAGCCAGCGAUGCUGCACGGCCCCGGCGCCCUGGGGGGGCCGUGGCAGCCCCCGCAGCAGCAGCAGCAGCGGCUCCCGGGGCUCGGCACAGCCUCGGUGCCCAGCG